rnacentral:rRNA from 1 species
GACGAACGCUGGCGGCGUGCCUAAUACAUGCAAGUAGAACGCUGAAGAGAGGAGCUUACUCUUCUUGGAUGAGUUGCGAACGGGUGAGUAACGCGUAGGUAACCUGCCUUGUAGCGGGGGAUAACUAUUGGAAACGAUAGCUAAUACCGCAUAACAAUGGAUGACACAUGUCAUUUAUUUGAAAGGGGCAAUUGCUCCACUACAAGAUGGACCUGCGUUGUAUUAGCUAGUAGGUGAGGUAAUGGCUCACCUAGGCGACGAUACAUAGCCGACCUGAGAGGGUGAUCGGCCACACUGGGAAUGAGACACGGCCCAGACUCCUACGGGAGGCAGCAGUAGGGAAUCUUCGGCAAUGGGGGCAACCCUGACCGAGCAACGCCGCGUGAGUGAAGAAGGUUUUCGGAUCGUAAAGCUCUGUUGUAAGUCAAGAACGGGUGUGAGAGUGGAAAGUUCACACUGUGACGGUAGCUUACCAGAAAGGGACGGCUAACUACGUG